UGAGGGAAUCGAUCUCCUGCCGUGAAGAACAGAUGAUGAGUGAAUCGUUCUCGGUGGCACAGCUGCCGAGUUCGUGCUUGUGUCACACGUUGUUCCAGUCCUCCAAAAGAAGGUGAAAGAAAUUUAUCCGAGCUUAUAACUCACGAUCCAAUCUGGGUGUGGCGACAUUCUCUCUUUUGUAGAAAGAGAGGAAAUUGUAGCACAGUAUGCGAGGUCCUCUGUUGCAGCCACAAGCGAACGGUACAAUGAGUAUUGUUUCUUUUCUUUGUCCAUCAUGACGGGUCGAGAUCUUCG
rnacentral:lncRNA from 1 species